UAUCUCUGUAGAGUCUGCAUAUCAAUAAGCGGAGGAAAAGAAACUAACUAGGAUUCCCUUAGUAACGGCGAGUGAAGCGGGAAGAGCUCAAAUUUGAAAUCUUCAAGGUUUUACCUUGACGAAUUGUAGUUUAAAGAAGUGUUUUCUGUUGGAGUUUUGGUAAAAGUUCUUUGGAAUAGGACAUCAUAGAGGGUGAGAAUCCCGUAUUUGACCAUUACUUUCCAGCUUUGUGAUACACUUUCAAAGAGUCGGAUUGUUUGGGAAUGCAGUCCAAAAUGGGUGGUAAAUUUCAUCUAAAGCUAAAUAUUGGCGAGAGACCGAUAGCGAACAAGUACCGUGAGGGAAAGAUGAAAAGAACUUUGAAAAGAGAGUUAAACAGUACGUGAAAUUGUCAAGAGGGAAGCGUUUGACACCAGUGUUGUUUUCUCAAAAAUCAAUUACGAAAUGGCAUUGAUUUUGUGUUGUAUUGACCUUAUCAGCUUUCUGCACUCUUUUCUUGAGUCUUUUCUUAAUGCACUUUUCGGUUAACAAGUCAACAUCAAUUUCUUUUGUUGUAAAAGAGUCAUUGGAAGGUGGCUUUCUUUUCGGAGAAAGUGUUUAUAGCCUUUGGCCUCUGCAAUCGGAGAGAUUGAGGUCUGCAGCGUAGAUCCUUCGGGGUUAGAUACAUUUGUGCUAAGUUGUAGCUUUUCAUAGACAACUUGUUGACUAUGAUUCAGUCAUGUAGGCUUACUCGCUUAUGCUAUUUUACCUACGCUUAGGAUGUUGAAGAUGUAGCACAUCAU
rnacentral:rRNA from 1 species